ACUGCUCAGUAACACGUAGCUAAUCUGCCCUUAGGACGAGAACAACCCCGGGAAACUGGGGCUAACUCUUGAUAGGCGAAGAACUCUGGAAUGAGUCUUUACCUAAAUAGAUUCACGUUAUCCUCGUGAACCUGCCUAAGGAUGAGGCCGCGACCGAUCAGGUUGUUGGCGAGGUAAUGGCUCACCAAGCCUUUUACCGGUGCGGGCCGUGGGAGCGGGAGCCCGGAGAUGGGUACUGAGACAAGGACCCAGGCCCUACGGGGCGCAGCAGUCGCGAAACCUUUGCAAUAAGCGAAAGCUUGACAGGGCUAUCCCGAGUGCCAUCCGCUGAGGAAGGCUUUUACCCAGUCUAGAACGCUGGGGGAAUAAGGAGAGGGCAAGUCUGGUGUCAGCCGCCGCGGUAAUACCAGCUCUCCGAGUGGUGUGGAUGUUUAUUGGGCCUAAAGCAUCCGUAGCUGGCUAGGUAAGUCCCUUGUUAAAUCCACCGAAUUAAUCGUUGGAUCGCGGGGGAUACUGCUUGGCUAGGGGACGAGAGAGGCAGACGGUAUUUUCGGGGUAGGGGUGGAAUCCUAUAAUCCCGGGAAGACCACCAGUGGCGAAGGCUGUCUGCUAGAACGCGCCCGACGGUGAGGGAUGAAAGCUGGGGGAGCGAACCGGAUUAGAUACCCGGGUAGUCCCAGCUGUAAACGAUGCAGACUAGGUGUUUGGACGGCCACGUGCCGUUCUAGUGCCGCAGGGAAGCUGUUAAGUCUGCCGCCUGGGGAGUACGAUCGCAAGAUUGAAACUUAAAGGAAUUGGCGGGGGAG
rnacentral:rRNA from 1 species